ACGCGUGCGGCGAGCGCGGCCGCCUGCUCGAGCGUCACCGCGCGCGGGCUCUUCGGGUAGAACACGAGGCCGAUCGCAUCGGCGCCGAGCUCGGCCGCCCAGUCGAUAUCGGCCGCGUUCGACAACCCGCAGAGCUUGAUCCGCGUGCGCGGCGGCGGCGCGUCGCGACUCCCGUCGCCGCCCGUGUCGCGGCGCGCGCCGGCGGCGGGCGCGUCGUUCGGCGGCGCGUCGGCCGGAAGGGUCGCAUCGGGUGUAUCGGUCAUCAUGUUCGUCCGUCCAGAUCGGCCCACACGCUGCUCCACGGCACGCUGCCGAGCUGUGCGGGCGGCACCGCGAAUUCGGCCGGAUAGCCGACGUGCGCGAGAUAGAGCCCUUCGGGCAUGAAAGUCGGCGCCGCGCAAUCGCGAUCGCGGCUCUCCAGCACUUCGGCGAGCCACGACGACGGAUAGCGGCCGCGCCCCACCGCGACGAGGCAGCCCAUCAGAUUGCGCACCAUGUGGUGCAGGAACGCGUUCGCGCGGAAGCGGAAGUGGAUGAAAUCGCCGUCGGGGCGGAUGCCGAUCUGGUACAGAUGCUUGACGGGCGAUUUCGCCUGGCACUCGGACGAGCGAAACGCCGAGAAAUCGUGCUCGCCGACGAGAUGCGCGGCCGCUUCGCGCAUUGCGUCGACGUCGAGCGGCGUGUGGACCCACCCCGCGCGCCCCGCGAGCAUCGGCGAGCGCACCGGAUGCACGUACAGCGCGUAGUAGUAGGUGCGCUCGAAAGCGGCGAAGCGCGCGUGGAACGUAUCCGGCAUCGGCUUCGCCCACUGCACGGCGACCGUCGGCGGCAGGAACGCGUUCGUGCCGCGCACCCAUGAGAAAUCCGCGCGGUCGAGGUCGGUAUCGAAAUGGACGACCUGGCCGAGGCCGUGCACGCCGGUGUCGGUGCGGCCCGCGACCGUCGUGUGCAGCGACGUCUGCGCGAAUUCCGCGAGCGAGCGCUCGAGCGCGUCCUGAACCGUCUUGCCGUGGGGCUGCGACUGCCAGCCGCAGAACGCCGCGCCGUCGUACUGAAUGCCGAGUGCGAUUCUCAUCACGACAGAUCGGCGAGUUUCGCGAGCAUCACGCGCGCUUCGUCGCGCGUGUCGGCGUGAUCGGCUUCGAUCACUUCGUGCAGCAGCGUGCGCGCGCCGGCCAGAUCGCCGAGCUCGACGUAUUCGGACGCGAGUUCGAGCUUGUUGCGCGCGAUCUGCGCGAGCGCCUCGGGCGUGAACGCCGGCAGCGACGCGCUCGGGCCGGACGGCAGCUCGAGAUCGAAAUCGAGGUUCAGCGCGCCGAAUUGCGCGACGCCGAGCGGCGGCGGGUUCGCGGCCGGCGCGCGGUCCGGCGCGGCCGGGACGUCGCCCGGCUCGGCCGGCGCCGG
rnacentral:rRNA from 1 species